rnacentral:rRNA from 1 species
UACGUAGGGUGCGAGCGUUGUCCGGAAUUAUUGGGCGUAAAGAGCUUGUAGGCGGUUUGUCGCGUCUGCUGUGAAAAUCCGGGGCUCAACCCCGGACUUGCAGUGGGUACGGGCAGACUGGAGUGUGGUAGGGGAGACUGGAAUUCCUGGUGUAGCGGUGGAAUGCGCAGAUAUCAGGAGGAACACCGAUGGCGAAGGCAGGUCUCUGGGCCACUACUGACGCUGAGAAGCGAAAGCAUGGGGAGCGAACAGG